rnacentral:lncRNA from 1 species
UCAAACUUCGGUAAGUAGAUCCACACCUGUAUGAAAAAACCGAAACCGACACUAUGUGAGACAAUAACACUCCCUACUGAACACAUGCAAGACAUGAUUGUGACUAUUUUUCUAAAAUUAACCUAUGUGGCUAAAGUGACUAAAACUGCAAGAUUUGGCUAAGACCCCGCAAAGCCAAGAACCUAAGAUUUACUAAGAAGACCUUUACCCUAUGUGGGUUGCCUACGUAUACCGCCCCGAGAGACGAGAAUCAGGUUUGCGUAGUUCGGGCAGAUUGGAUACGUGCGAGAGUUAAAAAAUAAUUGAUUUGGAGAAAAUAUAUUUUUGUGUUUUGUUUUGAAAAAUGAUGAAACAUGUAAAAUCUCCCAUGUCUCAUUCUUCUCAAGUGCACUCAUCUCCUCCAUCAUCGCCCUCUUCCAGUGAGGGUACUCCUUUUGGAUUUUCUUUUUCCUCUUUUUCUGAUUUUUUUUUGAAAACAUAAAUAAUGGGAAAGUGCAAAAUUUUUUUGGAUUUAUCCUCAAACCUCAUUGGUCCGUCAAAUGACCCUUUUACCCUUGAAAAUUACAAAAUGUAGCACAUAGGAUGCAUCAGGAUGGUCUUUUAUUUUUGGAGUACACCUGUCCUAAACGGACCCAACCCCUGUAUUGAAUUCCCAAAGUCAAAUGCACAUGAUGCAAACAAGAGUUCCUACAAGGGAUCCAGCAUGAGGCUGAGUUAUUCUAGGUUUAAAAACCUGGGUAUGCUGUUCUAGACUUGUGUACCCGAGCGGACAAUUCGAGCCGGGGAGGCUAUGUAUCGGGAACCAAAAGGCCAUCCGGCUUUGUAACUUGUUCGCACCUCUUCCUAAUUUAAGGUAUGACACUAAUAAAAGAGGAGUCACGCCAGGGUGCACAUCCCCGAAGAUGAGAAGAGAAGGGUUUCGUAGCAGUUUAUAUACAGUUCAAAUAGUAUCAAAGCGGUAAAAAACAACAUUUAGCACAUUAGACCCAAACAUGUAAUAAAAUCAGAUAAUAAAUAAAAACCAAAUAUAACAAUUACUCUAGCUCGAAUUCUUGAACCCUGAACCAGAGAUUUUGGGUUCUCUUUCCCAACAGAGUUGCCAGAGCUGUCACACCUCAUUUUUCUAACCCCGGAAGGUUAUAAGGGAGUUUUUUUUCCAAUUUAAAUGACAAUCGAAACGAGAUUAUUUAUUAAAAAUCAGAGUCGCCACUUGGGAUAAUUUAUGGUGUCCCAAGUCACCGGUUCAAAUCCCGAAUCGAGGAAAGAUUGACUCUGUUUUACAGUCCGCGAACACAGAAAUCCAGGUAAGGAAUUCUGUUAACCCGAGAGGUGUUAGGCAUUCUCAGGUUCCGUGGUUUUAGCACGGUCACUCAACUGUUAUUAUUGGCCUAUUUAUUUGAUUUUAAAGCAUCUUUGAAACCUAUGUGCAUUUUUAUUUCUUUUAAACCGCUUCUAAUAAUCCAAGUAUUAUACAACUAUUAUCGAUUACACAUUGCGAAUUAUAUCAUGGGAACCGUACCCACGAUCCACAACAUGUUUGUUUUAACUAAUAAUAUUAAAUUGUGGUCGGGUCACAUAAAUGUACCCCCGGCCUUUUUUAGAAAUAAGCGUCACAACUACAUCACGGGAACCAUACCCGUAGCUAUGACAAUUUAUUUAAUUAAUGCGCCUAGAGCAAACUACAAUAUUUAAGGCAUUUUUUAUGCUAGCUAAGGUAAUUAAUAUGAGGGCCAUAGAUUAUGGAUUUGUUUGCAUAUGGCGCACCUCAAUUUUAUUAAAGGAAAAUCGUUCAACUAAGUGAACUAUGGAUAUUCAUGUUUAAAACUAAUUUGAAAUUAAAUAUCACGACAACGCCACGGGAACCGUACCCGUAGUUGUGAUGAUUUUAUUACGUGCCUAAAGCAAACUACGAACGUUCAUUAUUUUCCUAAGACUAAUUUGAGACUAUCGCGAGGCCAUGAAUUAUGGAGCACUUUUGCUAAAAGAGAUUUCAUUCUCAUAUCCUUUUAACUCCUUAUUUCAUGCACUUGACCAAACCCAAUUCUUAAGGCAUAUAAACAAAUUAAUUAUCUAAUGGACUGGUCGUACCCCAAUCCCACACCUUGAUCCAUUGACAAGUAAGUCAAGCCAGAUGCCAAAGAUGUGGCAUUCAGGAAAGCAUAGAAGAUUACUAUCUAACAAACAAAAUCAGAAAUGAUAAUAAUAGGGUAAAAUAGAAUGGUGUAGAUUUUCAAUAUAAUUAAAUCCUGCUUUUCCCAAAAUCCCUUUCCGAAGUGACCUCUCAGUACUAAAACAAGACAAAUUUAGUAAGACCAAAUCCACCGAGCAUCAAAGAUGCAAUGGCCAAACAUCAGAUCAACGAGUCCAAUAAUUGAUAGGCAACAAUGACAUAAAUGUCAUCAAAUAUUCCAUCCACAUAAACUGGAUGCCUAAACUACCAUACUUGGAUUACAAACAAUAAAAUUAUCUUGGAAAUCUAUAUUAAGCCUAAAUCUCAGCUUUUCUACAUGUGACUCCCAAUGAAACAGCAAGAGUGCUCAAUGCAAAAAUUAGUUAAAGCUUCAAUCACGUAGCCCCAAAUUCAAACAGAUCCAAACAGUAUCUGCUUCAUUGUUUACUAUCGCUCUUUGUGAUUAUCUAUUUUUGUAUAAAUAAAAUAAAACAAUCCUAAUCCCUUUGAACCAAGCUCAUAUCAUACUAAAAAUUUGCAGCAAAAUAAAAUAAAAAAAGGAUAGAGCUAGACCUAAAAUUGCUUUCCUUGAAUAUCAAAUACGCCGAGCAAAAGAAGUGAAAGCAAAAACCCGAACGUGAAUCCUCGCACAAACGAAUCAGGAACGACGAAACUUCGACGACAACUAAGCGAUAUUUCUUUAAUCAGUUUGAUUUGCAAAGCAAUUACAAGUCGAAUUCGAACUGUAACAGCAACAGGGAACUCCACCGUGAACCUCGAACGGCGACGAACUCUGAACGACAAACGAUGACCUAAAAUCUUGUUCUGUUUCUCUGAUUUUAUCAAUGGACUGACCACCUCAAUUCCGAAAAGCAUAGAGAAAAUGAAGGCAUUUUGUAAAUCCUAGAACUUCCUUCCCUUUAUAUGUGUGUACGACUGAAAAAUGGUAAGAAGAGGAAGGUCCAGCGGUGUGUUUGCUGUCGAUUUCGCUGCCUGGGUCUAAGGUCUUAAGAUUUGUUUUCGUUGGAGAGGAAGGUUCCAAACGGCUGAAGCUUUUCUCUCAGGUUGUGGAGGAGAUGAGAUCUUUUGGUGAAGGGGUAUUUUUCUGGUCGAUGAUUGAAGGCUGGGGUCAAUCUUUUGCGUCGAAAAUGGAGAUGAAGAAGAGGAAAAAUCACUGGUGUGUUCCCUCUAUCGAAGAAGACGAUCACAAGGGGGCGUCAUCUCUUUUGUGUAUUGCGGCUGUCUUCAGCCUUAGGUCCUAGGGUCUAUUUUUGUACUCUUUUUUGCUGAUUGUAGAGUGUAGGGAUAUAGGUUUUUAUAGGGUUUUUAAGUUAAAGGGUAUGAGCCUAGGAAUUAUGGGCUUGGGAAUUAUGGGCUAGAUCCGAAAAUUAGGCCUAAAAAUGGGUCGUUUGAGACCAAAUUUUUUUCUUCCCC